CGAUGGAGGAAGAAGUGAAAAAGAUAAAUUUGAGCUUGACUGUUUUGAAUGCAAAGAUGGAGACGACAUUUUCCUUGAGGAGAAAGGAAAUUGUGCAGGAUCAGCCACUGGUGUCAACAAUCAAGUAAAGAUGGCCAGGACUGUUUUUUGAGGAGGAGGUUUGUGCUGAAUUCUUCCGCAUCAACCGUAUUGACCUGAAGUCAACAUUCCUGACAUCGCUAGACAAUCACACCCAGGGGUUGCUGAAGAUGUACAGAGCCAAAGCAAGACAGGGAAGGUGGAACGACUUGGAUGAACUUCUGGAGAAACUGGAUGCCCAGACCACAGAUCUAACUGCUCAUAGAAGGUCUGCUGUUCUUCAUGGUUGGUCUUCCCCUGUACUUGAGAGAGCCAGCUUCGAUUUUAAAGACUA